GGGGGCACGGGGGGAGGAAAGCAGGGGAUCGCAAGACCUUGCGCCGAUGGAUGAGCCGAAGUCGGAUUAGCUAGUUGGUAGGGUAACGGCCUACCAAGGCGACGAUCCGUAGCUGGUCUGAGAGGACGACCAGCCACACUGGGACUGAGACACGGCCCAGACUCCUACGGGAGGCAGCAGUGGGGAAUAUUGGACAAUGGGCGCAAGCCUGAUCCAGCCAUGCCGCGUGAGUGAAGAAGGCCUUCGGGUUGUAAAGCUCUUUAGUCCGGGAUGAAAACAUUACUUGUGAAAAAUGAGGAUGGCUGACAGUACUCGAAGAAUAAGCACCGGCUAACUACGUGCCAGCAGCCGCGGUAAUACGUAGGGUGCGAGCGUUAAUCGGAAUAACUGGGCGUAAAGGGUGCGUAGGCGGAAUCGCAAGUCAGAU
rnacentral:rRNA from 1 species